GACGAACGCUGGCGGCGUGCUUAACACAUGCAAGUCGAACGGAAAGGCCUCUUUCGGGGGGUACUCGAGUGGCGAACGGGUGAGUAACACGUGAGUAACCUGCCCUUGACUUUGGGAUAACUUCAGGAAACUUGGGCUAAUACCGGAUAGGAGCUCCUGCUGCAUGGUGGGGGUUGGAAAGUUUCGGCGGUUGGGGAUGGACUCGCGGCUUAUCAGCUUGUUGGUGGGGUAGUGGCUUACCAAGGCUUUGACGGGUAGCCGGCCUGAGAGGGUGACCGGCCACAUUGGGAAUGAGAUACGGCCCAGACUCCUACGGGAGGCAGCAGUGGGGAAUAUUGCACAAUGGGUGGAAGCCUGAUGCAGCAACGCCGUGUGCGGGAUGACGGCCUUCGGGUUGUAAAACGCUUUCGCUCAUGACGAAGCUUUGUGUGACGGUAGUGGGUAAAGAAGCACCGGCUAACUACGUG
rnacentral:rRNA from 1 species